GAUGAACGCUGGCGGCGUGCCUAAUACAUGCAAGUCGAGCGAACAGACGAGGAGCUUGCUCCUCUGACGUUAGCGGCGGACGGGUGAGUAACACGUGGAUAACCUACCUAUAAGACUGGGAUAACUUCGGGAAACCGGAGCUAAUACCGGAUAAUAUAUUGAACCGCAUGGUUCAAUAGUGAAAGACGGUUUUGCUGUCACUUAUAGAUGGAUCCGCGCCGAAUUAGCUAGUUGGUAAGGUAACUGCUUACCAAGGCAACGAUGCGUAGCCGACCUAAGAGGGUGAUCGGCCACACUGGAACUGAGACACGGUCCAGACUCCUACGGGAGGACGCAGUAGAGAAUCUUCCGCAAUGGGGGAAAGCCUGACGGAGCAAAGCCGCAUGAGUGAUGAAGGUCUUCGGAUCGUAAAACUCUGUUAUUAGGGAAGAACAAAUGUGUAAGUAACUAUGCACGUCUUGACGGUACCUAGUCAGAAAGCCACGGCUAACUACGUG
rnacentral:rRNA from 1 species